rnacentral:rRNA from 1 species
UGCAAGUCGAGCGAAUGGAUUAAGAGCUUGCUCUUAUGAAGUUAGCGGCGGACGGGUGAGUAACACGUGGGUAACCUGCCCAUAAGACUGGGAUAACUCCGGGAAACCGGGGCUAAUACCGGAUAACAUUUUGAACCGCAGGUUCGAAAUUGAAAGGCGGCUUCGGCUGUCACUUAUGGAUGGACCCGCGUCGCAUUAGCUAGUUGGUGAGGUAACGGCUCACCAAGGCAACGAUGCGUAGCCGACCUGAGAGGGUGAUCGGCCACACUGGGACUGAGACACGGCCCAGACUCCUACGGGAGGCAGCAGUAGGGAAUCUUCCGCAAUGGACGAAAGUCUGACGGAGCAACGCCGCGUGAGUGAUGAAGGCUUUCGGGUCGUAAAACUCUGUUGUUAGGGAAGAACAAGUGCUAGUUGAAUAAGCUGGCACCUUGACGGUACCUAACCAGAAAGCCACGGCUAACUACGUGCCA